AUUGAAUCAGUUUCGCUUUCAGUUUAUGUUUCCAGUCGUGUCUGUGAGGGCGAGUCUAAAUUCGUUAAUUCCUGUGGGUGAUAUUUGCAGAAUAACUCUGGCUAAGAGACUCCAAUGAUGCUUGUGAAAGGAGCUCUGUCAUGGAUGCCAAAAAGAGGUGAGCUCCCUGUACAGGGCUUAAUAUUAAACAUUAUAAGAACAGGUUCUGAAACAUAAUGACAAUAUUUGUUCCUUUUGCUUAUUAUAUCAUUUAUUGUGUUUUGCAGUAAAUCUGAUUCUUGAAAAACUCUGGAUCCUUCUAGACCAGUUCAUUCAGGAGUGCUUAUUAAAGAUAUGGUCAAUCUUACCACCAAAAGGUGAGUGCCCCCUACAGGCUGUGAAAUAUGUUGAAAUAUGUGCUCUGUUCUGAAUAAAGUAAACAUAUGUGUUGUAUAACCACAAACCUUUACGUUCAUAACUAAAUGCUUAUUAAUAAAAAUAAGUGCACUUUAUUAUACA
rnacentral:lncRNA from 1 species